UACAGAGGGUGCAAGCGUUGUUCGGAAUUAUUGGGCGUAAAGCGCGUGUAGGCGGCUUUGCAAGUCGGGUGUGAAAGCCCUCAGCUCAACUGAGGAAGUGCGCCCGAAACUGCAGAGCUUGAGUGCCGGAGAGGAUGGCGGAAUUCCCCAGUGUAGAGGUGAAAUUCGUAGAUAUUGGGGAAGAACACCGGUGGCGAAGGCGGCGACUGUCGGAUCGUGACGUGA
rnacentral:rRNA from 1 species